CAGGAACUACUACCAGCAGGGUCAAGGGCCCAGCUGUUGGGAUCGGUCAAGCUUGGGUUUAUGAUGGGUUUCUCAGUCGGCAUGGCAACAGGGGCCCUGUUUGGUGGUUUCACAGCUCUUAGAUAUGGUCUACGCGGCAGGGAACUAAUGAAUAAUGUAGGGAAGGUUAUGUUGCAAUCAGGUGGAACUUUCGGUACCUUUAUGUCCAUUGGAGCGGGAAUCAGAUGUUAGCAAACCCACCCUAGAUUUUUCAUGUGUUCUUCAUUUAACCUGAUGUAGCUAUGGUGUUUUCUUGUGACUUUAGAUGGAAUAUUGAAUAAGCUCUCCUUUCAAAGUGUGGCUCGCAGGGCAAGAAAGAGCAAGCAGAUAGCUCAUUUCUGCAUAAUUGAUUGGAGAUGACAUUGGCAUGUAAGUGGGACUGCUUCAUAUAACAAAUGAUUAAAAUAUACUUUCCUAUUUAACCAUCAUUAUCAUUUACUCCAAGAACAAAUUUGUCUUUUGUUUUGUUUUUUACAGAAAUUAUAAAGCCUUGUAAUAUUUUCAAAUAUACAAGAUAUAA
rnacentral:misc_RNA from 1 species